rnacentral:rRNA from 1 species
AGUGAACGCUGGCGGUAGGCCUAACACAUGCAAGUCGAACGGCAGCACAGUAAGAGCUUGCUCUUACGGGUGGCGAGUGGCGGACGGGUGAGGAAUACAUCGGAAUCUACUUUUUCGUGGGGGAUAACGUAGGGAAACUUACGCUAAUACCGCAUACGACCUACGGGUGAAAGCAGGGGAUCUUCGGACCUUGCGCGAUUGAAUGAGCCGAUGUCGGAUUAGCUAGUUGGCGGGGUAAAGGCCCACCAAGGCGACGAUCCGUAGCUGGUCUAAGAGGAUGAUCAGCCACACUGGAACUGAGACACGGUCCAGACUCCUACGGGAGGCAGCAGUGGGGAAUAUUGGACAAUGGGCGCAAGCCUGAUCCAGCCAUACCGCGUGGGUGAUGAAGGCCUUCGGGUUGUAAAGCCCUUUUGUUGGGAAAGAAAAGCAGCAGGUUAAUACCCCGCUGUUCUGACGGUACCCAAAGAAUAAGCACCGGCUAACUUCGUG